rnacentral:lncRNA from 1 species
UGUGAUAAGAGUAUUAAAAUAUAUAUUUAUACUGAUUAUGAUGCCUAAUGCUAAUGGGGUAAAUCAAGGAUUUUAAUGAAAAUGAUAGAAAUGUUUAAUAAGUUACCAAAAUGUAGUUUGUAUCAUGCUUUCUGAUGCGCUAUUUAUAUAUGGGCAUUAUGUUUAUUGGUGUGCAGUCCGUUCAUUCAUCCAUCUGUUCCACUGUCUGUCCCGCUUCAGGUUAAAGUUUUUGGUCGAGGUAGUCUGGUCGAGGUGGUUUUUUAUGAAUUUUCAAUCCAAUCAACUUGAAACUAAGUACACAUUUCCCUUUGAUAUUAUCUUUCUUAUUUUAAGACCAAAUUAGAGUUUUGAACCCAAUUUUACAGUCCACUGAACAUAGAAAAUGAUAGUGCAUGUGGAGUAUCAAUUUACUAUGACCACAUUUUUGUUUUAAGUUAAUAUACAAAAAAAAGUAAGGGUCACAUAUAUUUUCACGCUACAGGCUGUAUAGUUUAUACAUCAUAUACAUGGACGACCCUAUUUUGUGUGGUAGAAAGGAAACUAAACAAUUGAAUUUUAAGAUAAAUAUGAGAAUUUUUUUUUAUAAUGUGUAUAAUGCUUUCACAAAAAAUAAUAAAAAUAAACAUUGGGGUUACAUGAUUUGUAUUCUUGCUUCAAAACAAGAG